ensembl:lncRNA
CAAGCUCCUACACACUCCUCCAAACGUGUACACGCCCUGACAUGCCCGGAUGCAUCUCGUACUUAGACACACGCACACACACACACACACACACACACACACACACACACACAGAGGCACGGUCACGCAGUUGUAUGAGGACGCAGCGUACAGGUGCCGCCUACGUGACCAUGCCUCGAGUUGCCCCACUCAGCAGAAACCUCACUCCGCAGAAACCUGUCUACCAGCGAUCGAUUAUCUCGAGCAGCUAUUUGGCCAAGUCUUACCAAAAUGUGAAAUCCACAAAAGAAAAGUGAAGAAGAGGAGAGUUUCUUAAGGCUUUGCUCAGAGAGGGCUUCGGAGAAGGGCGGGGUCAGCCGAUACAGACCUUACUUUUUUUUUUUUUUUUUAAAUAUGGAAUCUCGCUGUGUCCCCCAGACUGGAGUGCAGUGGCGGGAUCUCGGCUCACUGCAAGCUCCGCCUCCCAAGUUCAAGCGAUUCUCCUGCCUCAGCCUCCCGAUUGGCUGGGACUACAGGCGUCCACCACCACGCCUGGCUAAUUUUUGUAUUUUUAGUAGAGUUGAGGUUUCACCAUGUUGGUCAGGCUGGUCUCGAACUCCUGACCUCGGGUGAUCCACCCACCUUCGGCCUCCCAAAGCGCUGGGAUUACAGGCAUGAGCCACCGCGCCCCGCCCAGACCUUACUUUCUUGACUUGGCCACAAGUCUGUCCUGCUCAGAGCUGCCUAAAGUGGCUCUCCUGUUCUAUGGGCUUGGGUGCAGGGUGGUGGCCCUUUCCUGGUCCCAGCUGCCUUCUUCCUGGGCACUGAAAAUGAUGCUACCAUUGUUAAGUGCCAGGCGUCACACCGUGGGGUUCUUCCCUGCGUAUCCACGUAGCCACGCCACGCCACGCAGGCAUUCUUUCCUCCCUUUUGCAGACGAUGGCACCGAAGUUCAAGACUUGCCCAGGGCCACCAAGACAGUCCUCUAGCCUUUGGUCCUCCCUCCUUGCCUCCUCGGCGUGGGGUGGUGGAGCCUUGGUCUGAGAAGGGUCGAGGUCUGGGCGCUGCCAGUGGCCCUGGCUCAGCCUCAGAACUGCCCGGGAGGGGGAGGAUGGCUAACUUAAGGAGGACAGGCAGAGGCUUCGUGCCGGCAGGGAGAGGGCUGAGCUGCGGCGGGCCACUCAGGUGGAGGGUGCUACACUUCCUUCAGUGGCCUUCAGGAAGCUCUGUCCUCACCCAGGGAUUGGGGUGAGUCAGGGCAUGGGGAAACAGGCUUACAGAGCCCACCUGCUCACCCUGACCACCCCACCCCAGGGGGCCCCAGGCUCCUAACUCUCAGAAUCCCACAGUCCGUAUUGGCGGAAGAUGGGCUGGCACCCUUGAGUUGGGCCCCUGGUCGUUGGCACAGAUAAGGGGAGCUGCUGCUGAAGGAGUCCCGACGGCUGAUCCUGUGGAGGCUUCUCAGAGCUCCUGGCAGGAGCCCCUCACCGUAGGAGGCCCACAGCACGUCCCCAGCCCCUCCCAGCUGCAUAUCGGCUCACAUUCACGCGGCUGCCACACAAGUGCGUAGGAAACUCCACUUGGCUGAACGUGUUUGUGCUGCUGUCUGGGACAGUCUUACGCACAUAAGCCCAAUACUGGAUGUCCCACCAUUUUCAGCCCUGGGGCCUAUGGCAAAGUGACACCUUCCUCGGCGUACACCGCACGGGGCCAUGACAAGGACGGUGUAAAGGCAAGUACUGACCAGGACG